rnacentral:rRNA from 1 species
UAACACGUGCGCGCAGUCGCAGGGUCGUACGAAACCCGGAGGCGUAAUGAAAGUGAAGACCCGGCUCGUCCGGGUCUCGGUGAGAUACCGGGGAGAGUCUCGCGACUCUCGACGGUCGCACCACCGGCCCGUCUCGGCCGCCGCGUCGGCGAGGCGGAGCAAGAGCGUACUUGUUCGGGACCCGAAAGAUGGUGAACUAUGCCUGAGCAGGACGAAGCCAGAGGAAACUGCUGGUG